GUCCUGCAGAUCUUAU
rnacentral:tRNA from 1 species